AGAGAGCCACAUUAUUUCACUGAUCUGUUUGGGGUUCCUAGUUAUUUAUGGACCUUAUCAGACAAUCUUACAGAUUUAUAAUGCUAUUUCUUACCACUACAAAUUCCAUCAUAGACUCAGGACAACCAUACUUGAAUUUAGAAAACUUACUAAUACCAACUUCUUCUUCAUCGUUUUCUCUCUACUGUCUAAAUGCAGUACUCUGGAAGUACAGAGUGUGGGGCAGGCAGAAGAACAGGCACAGAGAGUCAAGAAGUCACUUAGACCCACACUGUGAAGGAAGAACAGAAGUAUAGACACCUGGACUAUACUCCUGGAUGUACAUCAGUGCCACAGAAAAAAGAAAAUGGUGGAUAGUAAAUAGGACCAGCUUUAUCUCAAAUUCUUUUGUGGUAUUUAAAAUUCAAAAAUGAUAUAAGCUUCUCCAAGAUAAGAGCUAUUGUUUGUGAAUUUUCUAUAUAUACAUUGAAAAAAAAAAAGUUCAAAGCCA